rnacentral:lncRNA from 1 species
GUGAUUCACCAUGGGGAUCUCAGGAAGAUCCACAAAGCUGCCUCCCGUGGCCAAGCCUGGAAGCUGGAGAGGAUGAUGAAGAAGACGACAAUGGACCUGAACAUAAGAGAUGCGAAGAAGAGGCUCUGCAAUGCCAGAGGGAGGCUUGUGCAAAUAUUCUCAUAGAUUCUGGUGCUGAUCCAAAUAUUGUAGAUGUGUAUGGCAACACAGCUGUCCAUUAUGCUGUUUAUAGUGAGAACUUGUCAGUGGUGGCAAAAUUGCUGUCCUAAGGUGCAGACAUCGAAGUGAUGAACAAGCACAGCCCUCAUGCUUGCCAUAUGCCAUGGAUCAUCAGAGAUAGUUGGCAUGGUUCUUCAGCAAAAUGUUGACAUCUGUGCUGAAGAUACGUGUGGAAUGAUUGCAACGUUAUGCUGUUGCUUGUGGGUUUAAUCUCAUUGAUCAACAACUUUUGGAAUAUAACAAAAGGUAUCUAAAAAUUCUCAAAAUAGCAAUCCAGGUAAGACCUCUGAUAGUAAACUACACUUGGUGGUGCUACCAUGAGAUUAUAGGAGUGUUGAUCACAAAAGAACUAUUAAAAAAGCAAUGUGUAAGUAGCAUGUGUUUACAUAUAUACCUAUAUGUAAGUGUUUUUAUAUAUACAUAGCUUUGAUUUAAUUUUUUAGUUUAUAAUUCAGAAUUAAGAAUUUAGUUGGGCAACCCGCUCGGGUCCCCUUCCACACUGUGGAAGCUUUGUUCUUUCGCUCUUUGCAAUAAAUCUUGCUAGUAAAAAAAAAAAAAAAAGAAUUUAGUUUUAGGUGGUUUAUAAUCUCAAAAAUAUUAUCUGAAAAAAUAUUUGUUUAAUUGUGGUCCCUAAUAUCCUAUAUAAAACUUUUGUAUAAAUGAGUAAAACAAUUUUUAAGUUUAUAUAUUGUAUGUUUCCUCAACUGUCAUAACAAUUUAUGCUUGUUAUAAAAUGUAUAAUCCUUGGUGUGAUUGAUGAGCUCAGUAAUAGGGGUUUAUCAGCUUAUCCAAUUUAAUGAAUUAAUAUAUUCAUAAAUAAACUUUAUUACAAAUUAUAAACUAGCUUAGAUGCCUUGGAUUACAAGCCACAAAUAAUAGAACAUCUAAUAAUGAAAAGUAGGAAUUAAUAACAGAAAACUGCAACAUUUGAAUAUUAUAACCUAUAAAGGAACACAGUUAAACAAACUGUUAAAUAAACAAGUGUUUGUUUGUUUAUUAAACAUAAACAAACAUAUAAAAUGAUUAUUUGUUAAAUAAAAAAUAAAUUAUUUGUUUGUUUCUUUAUUGUAGAGACAUGGUCUCCUUAUGUUGCCCAGGCUGGUCUCGAACUUCUGUGCUUUAUUUAAUUUUUACAAUAAAUGAUUUGCAUUUAGAGAAUUAGAAUUAAUUACAGUUGAGUCUUGAGCAACAUGAGAGUUAGGGUGCUGAUCCCCUCAUGCAGCUGAAAAUCUGCUUUAUAUGAAAAUCUGUUUCUUUUGACUCCUCCAAAACUCUACUAAUUUUCUACUGUUGACCUGGAGCCUGAAAAAAGGUGAAAGCAUAAGCAGUCAAUUAACCCAUAGUUUCUAUUUUAUAUGUACUAUAUAUUGUAUUCUUAGAAUAAAGUGAGCUGGAGAAAAGAAGCUGUUAUAAAGAGGAAGAAAUAUAUUCACUAUUUAUUAGAUGGAAGUGAAUUAUUAUACAUAAAGGACUUCAUUCUCAUUGCCUUCACAUUGAGUAGGCUGAUAAGGAGGAGGCAGAGGAGAGAUUUGUCUUGGUAUCUUGCAGUGGCAAAGGAAAAGAAAAAUCUGUCUAUUAGUGGGCUUCUAGAGUGAAAACCCUUAUUCAAAGAUCAACUGUGUGGCAUAGUGACUUGUGUCACUAAAAAAGUAACUAUCUUUAGAAUUUGGAACUCAAAAUUCUUGCACCAUAAAUGAAUGUCAAUAAGAAUUAACAUAACUUAGUGAGGGUGCAUCAGUACCAAUAGGAGAUUAUUUUUCAAAGAUACCUACUGAGUGCAGAAGUCAGAAAAGCAAUUCUUUGUUGAGAAGCGCAGGUUAUGUUACAUAGUCUUGUACCAACAAGGUCUCACUAUUAUCAAAUUCAUUCCCUCUAAGUUGAAACCAAAUAAGAUAUAUUUACUUCAUUAGAACAAGAUGUGUUGUUCUAUCUGCUGGAUAAUUAGUGUGUUAAUAGUAAUUUUGGUACAACAAGUUACUCUGUUCCUACUAGCCAAAAUAGUAUCAUUAUAAAUAUUCAACUAGCUCAACUCUAGGCUCAACAAAUUAUAAUAAAAGUGGAAAAAAUUUUCACAAUAACAAAAGUGCUACUGUGAUACAUAAAUGUGAAACAAUACAUUGUACAAUAUGAACUGUAUGAGCACAUCUUUAAUUUAUUACAUAUUUAUCAAAGGACUUCUAUAAGUUAGAUUUUGCAAGUGGCAGGAGACCAAGAUGGAAUACACAUAGUCUGGGUCUUUAAGGUGCUCAUAAUACAAUAGAGCUGUCUCUAUUGAAUUUCUGCAUUUUUCCAACAGAAUUUCCUAACUAUGUUUUUUAUUUGUUUAUCCACUUGUCCACUUAACAAAUAACUGUCAGGUAUCUUUAAGGUACUAAGCAUCUUUCUUGUUAUUAUCAUUGUCAUUUUUUGUUAUUUACUACUUUAUUAAGGUACUAAGCAUUUUUCUUGUUAUUAUCAUCUUUUUUAUUAUUUACUACUUUAUUUAGUGCUUACUCUGUGCCAGAACCCCUUUGGGAGCUUAUAAUUAUCACUUAUUAUGUCAUUAUCAUAUUCAGUCUGUGUCAGACAUUUUAUAUCCAACGUGAAGAAUUUAAGCUUUAAAAAGUUUGGUAGUGUCCAGGAGCGGUGGCUCACUCCUGUAAUCCUAGCACUUUGGAAGGCCAAGGCAGGCGGAUUGCUUGAGCUCAGGAGUUUGGGACCACCCUGACUAACAUGGUGAAAUCCCAUCUCUACUAAAUACAAAAAAUUAGCUGGGCCUGGGUGGCAUGCAUAUGUAAUCCCAGCUACAUGGGAGGCUGAGGUAGGAGAAUUUCAUGAACCCAGGAGGCGGAGGUUGCAGUGAUCUGCUGAGAUCAUGCCACUGCACUCUAGCCUGGGCGACAGUGCGAGGCUCUUGUCUCAAAAAAAAAAAAAAAAAGGAGAAAACAAAAGUUUGGUAGUGUUUAAGGAAAGCAAGCUGAAUGAGUAGAAGUUUUCCAGGUAAAGAGUCAAAAGGAUGAUAUUUAGCAGAAGGAAAAUUUAACCAGACUGUGUGUUUGGCAGAAGGAACAUCUGAAGGAACACCUGACGAGGCUGCACCCUUGGCGUAAAGAACACCUGACAUGGCUGAAAGCUUGGUGGAAAGAACACCUGAGGAAUAGGAUACAGCGAAUUCCUUUUCAAAGAUUUUAGCCUGUAAAAAUCCUUUAAAAUUCAAGAGGGGGAAGAUUAAGUACAAUGAGUUCUGAGUUCCUCAUCAAAGAGUAAAUAUGUCAGUAUGUUCAGCUUCUCUGUUCUUUGUUCUCCGUUUUAAAGUUUAACUUCCUCAUUAUUUAUGCCUCCUUGCCCCUAGUUUCAUUAAACAACCCCCUUCUAACCUCUAACACCUGUUUUGUCUUUAGUCAUUCUUAGUCACCUGCUCUGUCCUCAGUCAUCCUUAGACACCUGCUCUGUAACUGUCUUUCCCGCUGAAAGUACUCACCCUGCCACUCCAGCUCAUACUCCUGCUCUCUUUGAAAUAGCCCAUCUGAAUUAGCUAAGAGUGUGCAGUCCAACCCUAUCCAAUAGGGAAAAGACACAACAGUAGGGACUAGCUGCAUUAGGAAUAAGAACACUUUCCCCUCCCUUGUUCAGUAUGAUCUUGCCAUUGCUCCAUCUGCAAGACCACUCUUUCAUAGAAGUAAAUUUGCCUUGCUGUAAAAACUUGUUGCUGGAGUGCUGACUGUUC